GACGAGCGCUGGCGGCGUGCUUAACACAUGCAAGUCGAGCGGUAAGGCCCUUUCGGGGGUACACGAGCGGCGAACGGGUGAGUAACACGUGGGUGACCUGCCCUCAGCUCUGGGAUAAGCCUGGGAAACCGGGUCUAAUACCGGAUAUGACUCCAUGACGCAUGUUGUGGGGUGGAAAGCCUUGUGCGGCUGAGGAUGGGCCCGCGGCCUAUCAGCUUGUUGGUGGGGGGAU
rnacentral:rRNA from 1 species